rnacentral:rRNA from 1 species
AACGAACGCUGGCGGCGCGCCUAAUACAUGCAAGUCGAGCGAGAAGACGUAGCAAUACGUUUGUAAAGCGGCGAGCGGGUGAGGAAUACAUGGGUAACCUACCCUCGAGUGGGGAAUAACUAGCCGAAAGGUUAGCUAAUACCGCGUACGCUCCUUGGACUUCGGUUCAGGGAGGAAAGCGAUACCGUGGGUAUCGCGCUCUUGGAUGGGCUCAUGUCCUAUCAGCUUGUUGGGAGGUAACGGCUCACCAAGGCUUCGACGGGUAGCUGGUCUGAGAGGACGAUCAGCCACACUGGCACUGCGACACGGGCCAGACUCCUACGGGAGGCAGCAGUAAGGAAUAUUGCGCAAUGGGCGAAAGCCUGACGCAGCGACGCCGCGUGGGGGAUGAAGGUCUUCGGAUUGUAAACCCCUUUCGAGAGGGAAGAUGGAACGAGCAAUCGUUCGGACGGUACCUCCAGAAGCAGCCACGGCUAACUUCGUGCCAGCAGCCG